GAUGAACGCUGGCGGCGUGCCUAAUACAUGCAAGUCGAGCGAAUGGAUUAAGAGCUUGCUCUUAUGAAGUUAGCGGCGGACGGGUGAGUAACACGUGGGUAACCUGCCCAUAAGACUGGGAUAACUACGGGAAACCGGGGAUAAUACCGGAUAAUAUUUUGAAAUGCAUGGGUCAAAAUUGAAAGGCGGCUUCGGCUGUCACUUAUGGAUGGACUCGCGUCGCAUUAGCUAGUUGGUGAGGUAACGGCUCACGAAGGCAACGAUGCGUAGCCGACCUGAGAGGGUGAGCGGCCACACUGGGACUGAGACACGGCCCAUACUCCUACGGGAGGCAGCAGUAGUGAAUCUUCCGCAAUGGACGAAAGUCUGACGGAGCAACGCCGCGUGAGGGAUGAAGGCUUUCGGGUCGUAAAACUCUGUUGUUAGGGAAGAACAAGUGCUAGUUGAAUAAGCUGGCACCUUGACGGUACCUAACCAGAAAGCCACGGCUAACUACGUGCCAGCCGCCGCAGUAA
rnacentral:rRNA from 1 species